UACGAAGGGGACUAGCGUUGUUCGGAAUCACUGGGCGUAAAGCGCACGUAGGCGGAUUCGUAAGUCAGGGGUGAAAUCCCGGGGCUCAACCUCGGAACUGCCUUUGAUACUGCGGGUCUUGAGUCCGAUAGAGGUGGGUGGAAUUCCUAGUGUAGAGGUGAAAUUCGUAGAUAUUAGGAAGAACAUCCGGUGGCGAAGGCGGCCCACUGGAUCGGUACUGACGCUGAGGUGCGAAAGCGUGGGGAGCAAACAGG
rnacentral:rRNA from 1 species